rnacentral:rRNA from 1 species
GACGUAGGGGGCCAGCGUUGCUCGGAAUUACUGGGCGUAAAGGGUUCGUAGGCGGUGUGGCAAGUCGGGAGUGAAAUCUCCAGGCUCAACUUGGAGGCUGCUUCCGAAACUGCCGCGCUAGAGUGCGAGAGAGGCCAGUGGAAUUGCAGGUGUAGCGGUGAAAUGCGUAGAUAUCUGGAGGAACACCGGUGGCGAAGGCGGCAUCCUGGACCAACACUGACGCUGAGGAGCGAAAGCCAGGGGAGCAAACGGG